rnacentral:rRNA from 1 species
GACGAACGCUGGCGGCGUGCCUAAUACAUGCAAGUCGAACGCAGUGGGGACGGGUGAGUAACACGUUGGUAACCUACCCUCAGAGGGGAUAACACUUGGAAACAUGCGCUAACCCGAUACCGAUGGAUGGACCCGCGGUGCAUUAGCUAGUUGGUGCGGUAACGGCUCACCAAGGCCACGAUGCAUAGCCGACCUGAGAGGGUGACCGGCAAAACUGGGACUGAGACACGGCACAGACUCCUACGGGAGGCAGAAGUGGGGAAUCUUCGGCAAUGGACGAAAGUCUGACCGAGAAACGCCGCGGGAGUGAAGAAGGUUUUCGGAUCGUAAAACUCGGUUGUUAGGGAAGCGGUAUCUAACCAGAAAGCCACGGCUAACUACGUGCCAGCAGCCGCGGUAAUUC